rnacentral:rRNA from 1 species
UAGGGUAUUGGCCUACCGUGGCAAUGACGGGUAACGGGGAAUUAGGGUUCGAUUCCGGAGAGGGAGCCUGAGAAACGGCUACCACAUCUAAGGAAGGCAGCAGGCGCGCAAAUUACCCAAUCCUAAUACAGGGAGGUAGUGACAAGAAAUAACAAUACAGGACUUUUUGGUUUUGUAAUUGGAAUGAGUUAAGUAUAAACCCCUUUACAAGUAUCAAUUGGAGGGCAAGUCUGGUGCCAGCAGCCGCGGUAAUUCCAGCUCCAAUAGCGUAUAUUAAAGUUGUUGCAGUUAAAAAGCUCGUAGUUGGAUUUCUGUUAAUAAUUUAUAUAAAAUAUUUUGAAUAUUUAUAUAACAUUAACAUAAUUCAUAUUACUAUAUUUUUUAGUAUAUGAAAUUUUACUUUGAGAAAAUUAGAGUGCUUAAAGCAGGCAUAUGCCUUGAAUACUCCAGCAUGGAAUAAUAUUAAAGAUUUUUAUCUUUCUUAUUGGUUCUAAGAUAAGAAUAAUGAUUAAUAGGGACAGUUGGGGGCAUUUGUAUUUAACAGUC